rnacentral:lncRNA from 1 species
CAUCCAGGAUAGAAAGGACCAGCCAGAGCUCGUUCAGUAGUGUAUUUCAGAAUCAUCAGGGAGGAGCCGGUAGCAGAAUUAUCCCGUUAACACUGAGACCACAUUUCACCUGUUACUUAUUUUUCUAAAUGGAGUAGGAGAGAAAGAUGCUAAAAUGUGAUCUUGGGAGGAGUCCCCCAGUCCCCCGAAAAAGAAGAAGAAAAAAAAAAAGCAGAACUCCAAACCCCUGUGGUCAUGGCAAUUUCCCAUCAAAACUGCCCAUGUAAAAUAAACACAAGCUGCUAAAAGUGAAUGUUAAGAAGGAAGGCACUGGUUAGUGGGUGGUCCUGACCAAUCCCCUGGAGCUGGAGAGGGGUUUUCCCACGGCCUUUGGUUUAAUGUGUCUGUAAACUCAACAAACCUCCGUUUCCCUGAGGUAAUCUGCAAAAACAUCAGUUUUCAGUCCCCAGAGACCAUUUCCAAUUAAACCUCACCCCCCAAAUCAUUCAAUGUAACAUUUGCCUUAUUUUUAGAAGAAACAAAUGUUCCCAUAUUAUUCCCAGUUUUUGAGAGAAUCCUGAGGCAGCUCUCUCGGCUGCUACUUGAAGUUGAAUUCUUGAAAAAUCUUAUGUAAACAGAAAGCUUAGGCCAGGUCAGGAGUAAAAUGCAGUCAAAGCUGUUUCUCAUCACACAGGUGAUUACAGGUUAGCUCUGCCCUAUUCAAGACAAUCUGAUCCAUUCCUUUUUUUGACAGCAGUUUAGAGACAAUUGGCCAACAAAACCAGCCUGGCCAACAAGGUGAAACCGUCGCUACUAAAAAUGCAAAACUUAGAUGGGCGUGGUGGCAGCAAGUUACUCAAUCCUACCUCCUCACCCCUUCCGCCCAACCCCCAGCAUCCCUUAGAAGUGACCCCUAGUUUGAGGCUG